rnacentral:rRNA from 1 species
CCUACGGGUGGCAGCAGUGAGGAAUAUUGGUCAAUGGACGCAAGCCUGACCCAGCAAAGUAGCGUGCGUGCUGACUGCCCUACGGGUUGUAAACUUCUUUUAUAGAGGAGUAAAAUUAUGCACGUGUACCUUUUUGUAUGUACUGUUUGAAUAAGAAUCGGCUAACUCCGGGCCAGCAGCCGCAGUAGUACGGAGGAUCCGGGCGUUAUCCGGAUUUGUUGGUUUUAAAGGGAGCGUAGACGGGUUGGUAAGUAAGUUGUGAAAGUUUGCGGCUCAAACGUAAAAUUGCAAUUGAGACUGGCAGACUUGAGUGCAGUAGAGGUAGGCGGAAUUCGUGGUGUAGCGGUGAAAUGCUUAGAUAUAACGAAGAACUCCGAUUGCGAAGGCAGCUCACUAGACUGUAACUGACACUGAGGCUCGAAAGUGUGGGUAUCAAACAGGAUUAGAGACCCUUGUAGUC